rnacentral:rRNA from 1 species
UACGUAGGGGGCGAGCGUUACCCGGAUUUACUGGGUGUAAAGGGCGCGUAGGCGGGUCUGCAAGUCAGACGUGAAAUACCGGGGCUCAACCCCGGGGCUGCAUUUGAAACUGCAGGUCUUGAGUGAUGGAGAGGCAAGUGGAAUUCCUAGUGUAGCGGUGAAAUGCGUAGAUAUUAGGAGGAACACCAGUGGCGAAGGCGACUUGCUGGACAUUAACUGACGCUGAGGCGCGAAAGCGUGGGGAGCAAACAGG